rnacentral:rRNA from 1 species
AUGUGUGACAGACCAAGAAGGCUCCUAGCCAUUGUUCUUGUAACCUCUCUUCUGAGCUUCGCUGCCGCUGCUUCUUCGUCAUCCAACGCCACCGACUUCGAAACCCUCCUUUGCUUGAAGCUCCACCUCUCCAGCAGCCCCAACUCCCGCCUUGGCUCAUGGGUGCAGAACAACUCCAUCCCUUUCUGCAGCUGGCCUGGUGUCACCUGCAACGCGUCUCGUGUCGUUGCGCUGGACCUCGAGAACUCCAGCCUCGAUGGCCGGAUACCGUCCUGCAUCUCCAACCUCACCCUCCUCUCAAGAAUCCACUUCCCGGGUAAUCUGCUGAGCAGUCACAUCCCAGCGCAGCUGUGGCAGCUGAGCAGGUUGAGCUACCUUAACCUCAGCUCCAACAGCCUUACUGGUUCCAUCCCCAACACUCUGUCCUCCACAUCCCUCCAGGUGAUUGAUCUUGGGAACAAUAAGCUCAGUGGAGAUAUCCCAGAAAGCCUCGGGACGCUCCGCAAUCUCUCUGUUUUACGCCUUGCUCGCAACAGCUUGACGGGCAGCAUUCCGCUUUCACUUGGAAGCAGCAGCUCUAACUCUCUUGUUUCUGUCAUCCUCGCAAACAAUUCCCUCACAGGACCCAUUCCGUCGGCCCUUGCUCACAGUUCAUCUCUUCAGGUGUUGAACUUGGUAAGAAACAACCUCGACGGAGAGAUACCUCCUGCUCUUUUUAACAGCACAUCGCUUCAAAGAUUAGCCCUUGGAUGGAACAACUUUUCUGGGUCCAUACCUGCGGUCGUUCCAAACUUCAAUUCACCUUUACAAGCUCUUAUAUUGUCGGUGAAUACUCUUGCAGGCACCAUACCGCCGACUCUGGGUAAUUUUUCUUCCCUUCGGAUCCUUCUGCUUGCGGCCAACAGUUUCAAAGGCAGUAUCCCAGUGAGUAUAGCAAAAAUCCCAAACUUGCAAGAACUAGAUAUUUCUUACAACCUUCUGUCGGGGACUGUCCCAGUCCCCAUAUUCAACAUGUCUUCAGUCACCUACCUUAGUUUAGCCGUCAACAGUUUUAUUGGGGAACUUCCAUUUGACAUCGGAUAUACACUUCCAAGCAUCCAAACAUUCAUAUUGCAACAAAAUAAGGGUUGGAGGAAAAAUCCCUGCAUCGCUAGCCAACGCAACCAAUUUCCUGUCCAUUAA